UAUCACGGGAGACACACGGCGGGUGCUAACGUCCGUCGUGAAGAGGGAAACAACCCAGACCGCCAGCUAAGGUCCCAAAGUCAUGGUUAAGUGGGAAACGAUGUGGGAAGGCCCAGACAGCCAGGAUGUUGGCUUAGAAGCAGCCAUCAUUUAAAGAAAGCGUAAUAGCUCACUGGUCGAGUCGGCCUGCGCGGAAGAUGUAACGGGGCUAAACCAUGCACCGAAGCUGCGGCAGCGACGCUGAUGCGUUGUUGGGUAGGGGAGCGUUCUGUAAGCCUGCGAAGGUGGCCUGUGAGGGUUGCUGGAGGUAUCAGAAGUGCGAAUGCUGACAUAAGUAACGAUAAAGCGGGUGAAAAGCCCGCUCGCCGGAAGACCAAGGGUUCCUGUCCAACGUUAAUCGGGGCAGGGUGAGUCGACCCCUAAGGCGAGGCCGAAAGGCGUAGUCGAUGGGAAACGGGUUAAUAUUCCCGUACUUGGUGUUACUGCGAAGGGGGGACGGAGAAGGCUAUGUUGGCCGGGCGACGGUUGUCCCGGUUUAAGCGUGUAGGUGUGUGUUCCAGGUAAAUCCGGUUCACUUUAACACUGAGGCGUGAUGACGAGGCACUACGGUGCUGAAGCAACAAAUGCCCUGCUUCCAGGAAAAGCCUCUAAGCAUCAGGUAACAUCAAAUCGUACCCCAAACCGACACAGGUGGUCAGGUAGAGAAUACCAAGGCGCUUGAGAGAACUCGGGUGAAGGAACUAGGCAAAAUGGUGCCGUAACUUCGGGAGAAGGCACGCUGACACGUAGGUGAAGUGAUUUACUCAUGGAGCUGAAGUCAGUCGAAGAUACCAGCUGGCUGCAACUGUUUAUUAAAAACACAGCACUGUGCAAACACGAAAGUGGACGUAUACGGUGUGACGCCUGCCCGGUGCCGGAAGGUUAAUUGAUGGGGUCAGCGCAAGCGAAGCUCCUGAUCGAAGCCCCGGUAAACGGCGGCCGUAACUAUAACGGUCCUAAGGUAGCGAAAUUCCUUGUCGGGUAAGUUCCGACCUGCACGAAUGGCGUAAUGAUGGCCAGGCUGUCUCCACCCGAGACUCAGUGAAAUUGAACUCGCUGUGAAGAUGCAGUGUACCCGCGGCAAGACGGAAAGACCCCGUGAACCUUUACUAUAGCUUGACACUGAACAUUGAGCCUUGAUGUGUAG
rnacentral:rRNA from 1 species